rnacentral:rRNA from 1 species
CUUUUUUAGUUUGACCUGCCCACUGAUUUAUUAAAUGGCCGCGGUAUUUUGACCGUGCAAAGGUAGCAUAAUCAUUUGUCUCUUAAUUGGAGGCUGGAAUGAAUGGUUUGACGAGGGAAUUUCUUUUUUAUUAAAAAUUUUAUAAUUUAACUUUUAAGUUAAAAGGCUUAAAUGUAUUUGAGGGACGAGAAGACCCUAUAGAACUUUACUUUUUUUAUAGGUAAUUAUUUUUGUUUAGGGUAUAUUUAUUUUGAAAAAAAAGUUUGGUUGGGGCGACCUUGAGGAUUUUUUAACUCUCAAAUUGUUUUUCACAAAUUAGUGUUAUGAUCCAUUAUUAAUGAUUAUUAGAUUAAGUUACCUUAGGGAUAACAGCGUAAUUUAUUUGGAGAGUUCUUAUCGAUAAAUGAGAUUGCGA